UGGGCGCAGGCCUGAUGCAGCAACGCCGCGUGAGGGACGAAGGCCUUCGGGUUGUAAACCUCUUUUAGCAGGGAAGAAGCGAAAGUGACGGUACCUGCAGAAAAAGCACCGGCUAACUACGUGCCAGCAGCCGCGGUAAUACGUAGGGUGCAAGCGUUGUCCGGAAUUAUUGGGCGUAAAGAGCUCGUAGGCGGUUUGUCACGUCUGCUGUGAAAACCCGAGGCUCAACCUCGGGCUUGCAGUGGGUACGGGCAGACUAGAGUGCGGUAGGGGAGAUUGGAAUUCCUGGUGUAGCGGUGGAAUGCGCAGAUAUCAGGAGGAACACCGAUGGCGAAGGCAGAUCUCUGGGCCGUAACUGACGCUGAGGAGCGAAAGCAUGGGGAGCAAACAGGCUUAGAUACCCUGGUAGUCCAUGCCGUAAACGUUGGGAACUAGAUGUGGGGACCAUUCCACGGUCUCCGUGUCGUAGCUAACGCAUUAAGUUCCCCGCCUGGGGAGUACGGCCGCAAGGCUAAAACUCAAAUGAAUUGACGGGG
rnacentral:rRNA from 1 species